rnacentral:rRNA from 1 species
UAAAUUGAGAGUUUGAUCCUGGCUCAGGAUGAACGCUGGCGGCGUGCUUAACACAUGCAAGUCGAGCGAUGAAGUUUCCUUCGGGAAACGGAUUAGCGGCGGACGGGUGAGUAACACGUGGGUAACCUGCCUCAUAGAGUGGAAUAGCCUUCCGAAAGGAAGAUUAAUACCGCAUAACGUUGAAAGAUGGCAUCAUCAUUCAACCAAAGGAG